UACCUGGAUAACUGUGGUAAUUCUAGAGCUAAUACAUGCUAAAAACCUCGACUUCGGAAGGGGUGCAUUUAUUAGAUAAAAAACCAAUGCCCUUCGGGGCUCCUUGGUGAUUCAUGAUAACUCAACGAAUCGCAUGGCCUUGUGCCGGCGAUGGUUCAUUCAAAUUUCUGCCCUAUCACCUUUCGAUGGUAGAGUAGUGGUCUACCAUGGGUUCAACGGGUAACGGGGAAUUAGGGUUCUAUUCCGGAGAGGGAGCCUGAGAAACGUGAGUUCACCCCCCCGCCUUCCCCAUCCUUUAUCCCUCGCGAGCGCGUCGCCCCCCCGUUUCUCCCUGCCCACGUACUAAUUCGGUUUACAGGGCUACCACAUCCAAGGAAGGCAGCAGGCGCGCAAAUUACCCAAUCCCGACACGGGGAGGUAGUGACAAUACAUACUGAUGCAGAGCUCUUUAGGGUUUUGCAAUUGGAAUGAGUACAAUUUAAAUCCCUUCCAAUCGUGGCCAUCCCCGCACUGCGUGCUCCGGGGGCAUUUCGUUGGGGGAUCAUCAAGUCUGUCUGCCCCUGGCAGUCAGGCGACGUCCUUCUCUUUUCGAGAAUGACGGAAGAUCUUCCGUCAAUUCGAAGCUCGAUUCGUCGAGUUCAGAGACUACGUGGGGACGGGCAGCUUGUCCAGCAGGCUGUUAAAGGUAUAGUCCAAUCCGCGGGAACGAUCCCGUGGUAAAAUAUGUAACGAGGAACAAUUGGAGGGCAAGUCUGGUGCCAGCAGCCGCGGUAAUUCCAGCUCCAAUAGCGUAUAUUAAAUUUGUUGCAGUUAAAAAGCUCGUAGUUGAACCUUGGGUCUGGCUGACCGGUCCGCCUCACCGCGUGCACUGGUUCGGCCGGACCUUUCCUUCUGGGGAGCCGCAUGCCCUUUACUGGGUGUGUCGGNGAACCAGGACUUUUACUUUGAAAAAAUUAGAGUGUUCAAAGCAGGCCUAUGCUCGAAUACAUUAGCAUGGAAUAAUAGAAUAGGACGUGUGGUUCUAUUUUGUUGGUUUCUAGGACCGCCGUAAUGAUUAAUAGGGAUAGUCGGGGGCAUCAGUAUUCAAUUGUCAGAGGUGAAAUUCUUGGAUUUAUUGAAGACUAACUACUGCGAAAGCAUUUGCCAAGGAUGUUUUCAUUAAUCAGUGAACGAAAGUUAGGGGAUCGAAGACGAUUUUUGAUUCCGGGUGUCCGGUCGUCUACAGUAAAGCUAGUCUGUUUCGUUCAGGCGACACUAUCCAACUGAGGGGCUUCCUUCGUCGCGGUAUCCACCGGGACGUUGGGUUAUCCACAGCUAGAUCGUUAGGGAAGCUACGUGCUUGGCUAUCGAUGCAGUCUACAGACUGAAUGGAGGUGGGCCCACGGUGCCAUCGGCACCAGGGUUUUUGAUACAGUCGAGUCCCAUGCUUCGCAGCAUCGGCCGUCACGCAGAUACCGUCGUAGUCUUAACCAUAAACUAUGCCGACUAGGGAUCGGACGGUGUUAUUAUUUUGACCCGUUCGGCACCUUACGAGAAAUCAAAGUUUUUGGGUUCUGGGGGGAGUAUGGUCGCAAGGCUGAAACUUAAAGAAAUUGACGGAAAGGCACCACCAGGCGUGGAGCCUGCGGCUUAAUUUGACUCAACACGGGGAAACUCACCAGGUCCAGACACACGAAGGAUUGACAGAUUGAGAGCUCUUUCUUGAUUAUGUGGUUGGUGGUGCAUGGCCGUUCUUAGUUGGUGGAGUGAUUUGUCUGCUUAAUUGCGAUAACGAACGAGACCUUAACCUGCUAAAUAGCCAGGCCAGCUUUGGCUGGUCGCCGGCUUCUUAGAGGGACUAUCGGCUCAAGCCGAUGGAAGUUUGAGGCAAUAACAGGUCUGUGAUGCCCUUAGAUGUUCUGGGCCGCACGUACGUUACCCCCCUCCCGUGCUUUCUCCCCCUGGAAUCUCUGCUAACCCGUGGAAUAGGCGCGCUACACUGACAGAGCCAACGAGUUCACCACCUUGGCCGAAAGGUCUGGGUAAUCUUGUUAAACUCUGUCGUGCUGGGGAUAGAGCAUUGCAAUUAUUGCUCUUCAACGAGGAAUGCCUAGUAAGCGCAAGUCAUCAGCUUGCGUUGAUUCCGUUCCCUCCCCUUUGUACACACCGCCCGUC
rnacentral:rRNA from 1 species